CGGCUCAGCCGAGCCCCCUCCCGAACCCAACUGGAUAUGUACACGCAACCACCAACGAAGAGGAGGCCAAAGAGCAGGAGAACCAACUACACACCCCCCUCCUUUCCCACCCGACAGACCCAUUGACCUCACACCCCAGUUUACCCCUACCUAACACAAAACAACGAAAAGGGACAUACAUGUUGGACACGAGAUACACCCAGAGCCGCACUCAACUAGUAGCCCGCACUACUAAAUCCACGGACAAUGAAGCGAAAUUGUUAUGAGAACUACUGUAAACGAU